GGGAGAAGAAAGGAAAGAGAGGGGACAAGGGAGUAGAAAGAGGCGAAAAUAAGGAAAGAAGGGAGGACAAAAAGGAAGGAAAGAAUCUUUGAGUUUUGACAACUCAUUUGGGUGGCAAGGGAGGGUUGACCAAAUAGGUGUCAAAUUUCUUUAAAACAAUACCCAAGGGGGUUCGAACUUAGGUAUCAAGAAGUGCUACACUACUUAACCACUAAGCUAGAUUCUCAUUCUUAUUUAAAAGCUAACGAUAAUAAAACAUAAAACGAGGCAUGACAGAUCUAAUAAAAAUUGAUUGAACAAGUCAGUAAGGAGUGAAUCGCAACCCAAUUAUAAAUUCGAAAACAAAGUCUAGCCAUUAAAAAGGGAUUAUGCUUACCAACAUACAGCAACAAGAAACAAAAGCAAUCAGUGAUAGUCCUCACUGAAAUCCAAUCGUAUAAGAGGUGAAUCGGCAAAAAGAAAAGAAACGAUAGCCCAAGGGUGGUGAAUGAUGUGACGACCAGAAAAAGAUAGGAAGAAAAUAAGAGAAAAGAAAUAAAAGAGAGGAUAAGGGAAGGGAAAGGAAGGGAAGGGAAGGGAAGAGGGACGGUGCAAGGGAGAGGGAAAAGAGAGAAAGAGAAAACGGCUAAGGAAAAUGGA
rnacentral:lncRNA from 1 species